rnacentral:rRNA from 1 species
CAGUAGCCGCGGGAAUACGAAGGGGGCUAGCGUUGCUCGGAAUGACUGGGCGUAAAGGGCGCGUAGGCGGAUGGCACAGUCAGAUGUGAAAUUCCCGGGCUUAACCUGGGGGCUGCAUUUGAUACGUGUUGUCUAGAGUGAGGAAGAGGGUUGUGGAAUUCCCAGUGUAGAGGUGAAAUUCGUAGAUAUUGGGAAGAACACCGGUGGCGAAGGCGGCAACCUGGUCCUUGACUGACGCUGAGGCGCGAAAGCGUGGGGAGCAAACAGGAUUAGAUACCCCAGUAGUCCCUGUCUCUUAUAC